rnacentral:rRNA from 1 species
AGUGAACGCUGGCGGUAGGCCUAACACAUGCAAGUCGAACGGCAGCACAGUAAGAGCUUGCUCUUACGGGUGGCGAGUGGCGGACGGGUGAGGCAUACAUCGGAAUCUACUUUUUCGUGGGGGAUAACGUAGGGAAACUUACGCUAAUACCGCAUACGACCUACGGGUGAAAGCAUGGGAUCUUCGGACCUUGCGCGAUUGAAUGAGCCGAUGUCGGAUUAGCUAGUUGGCGGGGUAAAGGCCCACCAAGGCGACGAUCCGUAGCUGGUCUGAGAGGAUGAUCAGCCACACUGGAACUGAGACACGGUCCAGACUCCUACGGGAGGCAGCAGUGGGGAAUAUUGGGCAAUGGGCGCAAGCCUGAUCCAGCCAUACCGCGUGGGUGAAGAAGGCCUUCGGGUUGUAAAGCCCUUUUGUUGGGAAAGAAAAGCAGCAGGUUAAUACCCCGCUGUUCUGACGGUACCCAAAGAAUAAGCACCGGCUAACUUCGUG